GAAGUGUUCAGAGAGAGUGAACUGAAACUUGUUCUCUAGUCUUUUCUCCCGGAUGGGAAGCAAUGACGUGGGGAGAGAGCGCGGAGGAAGGGAGAGAUCCAGAAAGGUAGAUUCUUCUGUGUAGAAUUACAAUGUUCCUGAAAAGCCACUUUCCUGAGAAGAACUGCAACAGAUUUUCAUGAUAUCAAGAAGGCUUUAUGUUCCUGUAAGAAAGUUUGGCUGUAAGUUCCUAUCAAGAUUCUACAAGACUACAUGCGUGAGACCAGCUGGUGCUCAUCUCCAUAAGAUCUUCAGUCCAGAACCCAGGCAAUCAGCAGCUUCACAUGUGGCAGUGCGGGGGAGGAAAGAGAUAGAAGAAAAUGAGACAAGAUUUGCACCUGGUGCAUGGAAGAGGCUCGUGUAACUUCUGUUUACAUUUCAUUGGCUAAUUCAAGUCACGUGGUGGAACCUGGCAUUAAAGAGGCAACCUAGCGUGUGGUCAAACUAGAGUGAAGGGGUGUGGAUGCAAAAAUUAACAAAUCUUUCCAUGAUUGUGGAGCAGCUCUAUCAUGAUUGAGAAUUCAGCGCCAGUAGCAGCAGGGAUCUUACUGUGUAAUGACGGGUCAUCAAAGCCAGGUAGAGCUUUGUAAGAUUUUUUUACACUAACAUUCAUACUGGAUCUUUAUAUUCUUUAGGAAAAUAGCAGAAUAACAGAAUUUUAAGGUCAACUAGAAUGAGUACAAUAAAUUUGUUUGUGGAAUAUAUUAAUAUCUAAAAAUAACUUUGCCGUAUAAAGUAAUGCCAAUGUAAUUUUUUCUUUUCAUUACUGCAUU
rnacentral:lncRNA from 1 species